GAAUAUUGGACAAUGGGGGGAACCCUGAUCCAGCCAUGCCGCGUGUGUGAAGAAGGCCUUUUGGUUGUAAAGCACUUUAAGCGAGGAGGAGGCUACGCUAGUUAAUACCUAGUGAAAGUGGACUUUACUGCCAGAAUAGGCACCGGAGAACUCUGUGCCAGUGGCCGCGGUAAUACAGAGGGUGCAAGCGUUAAUCGGCUUUACUGGGCGUAAAGCGCGCGUAGGUGGCCAAUUAAGUCAAAUGUGAAAUCCCCGAGCUUAACUUGGGAAUUGCAUUCGAUACUGGUUAGCUAGAGUAUGGGAGAGGAUGGUAGAAUUCCAGGUGUAGCGGUGAAAUGCGUAGAGAUCUGGAGGAAUACCGAUGGCGAAGGCAGCCAUCUGGCCUAAUACUGACACUGAGGUGCGAAAGCAUGGGGAGCAAAC
rnacentral:rRNA from 1 species